rnacentral:rRNA from 1 species
UGAGUGCGAGCUGCUACGGCAGCGAAGUUGGUGAUGUCAUGCUUCCAAGAAAAGCCCUAUACCCGUUAAGGCAUCAUCCUGUACCCGAAACCGACACAGGUGGGGUGGUAGAGAAUACCGAGGGGCGCGAGGUAACUCUCUCUAAGGAACUCGGCAAAAUGGCCCCGUAACUUCGGGAGAAGGGGUGCCACCGCAAGGUGGUCGCAGUGAAGAGGCCCAGGCGACUGUUUACCAAAAACACAGGUCUCCGCUAAGUCGCAAGACGAUGUAUGGGGGCUGACGCCUGCCCAGAGCCGGAAGGUUAAGGAAGCUGGUCAGCGCAAGCGAAGCUAGCGACUGAAGCCCCGGUGAACGGCGGCCGUAACUAUAACGGUCCUAAGGUAGCGAAAUUCCUUGUCGGGUAAGUUCCGACCCGCACGAAAGGCGUAACGAUCUGGGCGCUGUCUCGGAGAGAGGCUCGGCGAAAUAGAAUUGUCUGUGAAGAUGCGGACUACGUGCACCCGGACAGAAAGACCCUAUGAAGCUUUACUGUAGCUUGGUAUUGUGCCCGGGCUCGCAAUGCGCAGGAUAGGUGGGAGGCUUUGAUCAUCGGCUUGCGGGUCGAUGUGAGCCAACGGUGAGAUACCACUCUUUGCGAGCUAGGGUUCUAACGGCCACCCGUCAUCCGGGGGCCGGACAGUACCUGGUGGGCAGUUUGACUGGGGCGGUCGCCUCCUAAAAGGUAACGGAGGCGCGCAAAGGUUUGCUCAGGCUGGUUGGAAAUCAGCCGACGAGUGUAAAAGCAGAAGCAAGCUUGACUGUGAGACCAACAAGUCGAACAGGGAGGAAACUCGGCUUUGGUGAUCCGACGGUUCUGAGUGGAAGGGCCGUCGCUCAACGGAUAAAAGUUACUCUAGGAUAACAGGCUGAUCUCCCCCAAGAGUUCACAUCGACGGGGAGGUUUGGCACCUCGAUGUCGGCUCAUCGCAACCUGGGGCUGAAGUCGGUCCCAAGGGUUGGGCUGUUCGCCCAUUAAAGCGGUACGCGAGCUGGGUUCAGAACGUCGUGAGACAGUUCGGUCCAUAUCCGGUGCACGCGCAGGAAUAUUGAGAGGAUUUCUCCCUAGUACGAGAGGACCGGGAGGAACGCACCUCUGGUGUACCAGUUAUCGUGCCAACGGUAAACGCUGGGUAGCCAUGUGCGGAGUGGAUAACCGCUGAAAGCAUCUAAGUGGGGAGCCCACCUCAAGAUGAGUAUUCCCAUGGCGUAAGCCAGUAAGGUCACGGGAAGAACACCCGUUGAUAGGCUCUAUGUGGAAGCGCAGUAAUGCGUGAAGCAGAGGAGUACUAAUAGACCGAGGGCUUGACC